UACAGAGGUCUCAAGCGUUGUUCGGAUUCAUUGGGCGUAAAGGGUGCGUAGGCGGCGCGGUAAGUCGGGUGUGAAAUCUUGGAGCUUAACUCCGAAACUGCAUUCGAUACUGCGGUGCUUGAGGACUGGAGAGGAGACUGGAAUUCAUGGUGUAGCAGUGAAAUGCGUAGAGAUCAUGAGGAAGACCAGUGGCGAAGGCGGGUCUCUGGACAGUUCCUGACACUGAGACACGAAGGCCAGGGGAGGCAAACGGG
rnacentral:rRNA from 1 species